AACGAACGCUGGCGGCAUGCCUAACACAUGCAAGUCGAACGAGACCUUCGGGUCUAGUGGCGCACGGGUGCGUAACGCGUGGGAACCUUCCCUUAGGUUCGGAAUAACUCCCCGACAGGGGUGCUAAUACCGGAUCAUGUCUUCUGACCAAAGAUUUAUCGCCUUUGGAUGGGCCCGCGUUGGAUUAGCUAGUUGGUAGGGUAAAAGCCUACCAAGGCGACGAUCCAUAGCUGGUCUGAGAGGAUGAUCAGCCACACUGGGACUGAGACACGGCCCAGACUCCUACGGGAGGCAGCAGUGGGGAAUAUUGGACAAUGGGCGAAAGCAUGAUCCAGCAAUGCCGCGUGAGUGAUGAAGGCCUUAGGGUUGUAAAGCUCUUUUAACCGGGAUGAUAAUGACAGUACCGGGAGAAUAAGCUCCGGCUAACUCCGUG
rnacentral:rRNA from 1 species